CCUGAGAAGAGGAGGACAGAGGCGGAAAGAGGAGGAGGCAGAACAGGAGAAAGAGCUGGAAGCAAAAGUUAAAGCCCCCAGAGACGGACAAAAUACAGCCUGCUCUGGGGUUGUCACAAUUAAAAGCAAGGCAGAUUUCAU